GCUGGCGGUGUGCUUCACACAUGCAAGUCGAACGAGGUAGCAAUACACUAGUGGCGGACGGGUGAGUAACGCGUGGGAAUCUGCCUUUAGAUGGGGGAUAACGAGCCGAAAGGUUCGCUAAUACCGCAUAUGCCGUAAGGUGAAAGGAGUAAUCCGUCUAGAGAUGAGCCCGCGUCCGAUUAGCUAGUUGGUAGGGUAAAGGCCUACCAAGGCGACGAUCGGUAGCUGGUCUGAGAGGAUGAUCAGCCACAAUGGGACUGAGACACGGCCCAUACUCCUACGGGAGGCAGCAGUGGGGAAUUUUACGCAAUGGGGGAAACCCUGACGUAGCGACACCGCGUGAGCGAAGAAGCCCCUUGGGGUGUAAAGCUCUGUCGGCUGGAACGAAAAAAAUGACGGUACCAGCAAAGGAAGCAUCGGCUAACUACGUGCCAGCAGCCGCGGUAAGACGUAGGAUGCAAGCGUUGUCCGGAUUUAUUGGGCGUAAAGAGUUCGUAGGUGGUUUGUCAAGUCUGAUGUUAAAGAUCGGGGCUCAACCCUGGGACUGCAUUGGAUACUGGCAGACUUGAGUAUGGUAGAGGCUAGUGGAAUUCCCAGUGUAGCAGUGAAAUGCGUAGAUAUUGGGAAGAACACCGGUGGCGUAGGCGACUAGCUGGGCCAUAACUGACACUGAGGAACGAAAGCCAGGGGAGCGAAUGGGAUUAGAUACCCCAGUAGUCCUGGCUGUAAACGAUGGAUACUAGGCGUAUCGGGUAUCGACCCCUGAUGUGCCGCAGCUAACGCGAUAAGUAUCCCGCCUGAGUAGUACGGCCG
rnacentral:rRNA from 1 species